rnacentral:rRNA from 1 species
UACACUAAGGGCAAACGGUGGAUGCCUCGACACAAGAAGCCGAUGAAGGACGUAGCAGCCUGCGAUAAGCCCCGGGGAAGUGGCAAGCAACUUUUGAUCCGGGGAUUUCCGAAUGGGGAAACCCAUCGUGCUGGAAGAGCACGGUAUCGUGCGCUGAAUCCAUAGGCGUACGAAGGGCACCUGGCGAAGUGAAACAUCUCAGUAGCCAGAGGAAGAGAGACAAAAAAUGCUGACCCAACAGACAACCGACAACUUACAACGAACAACCGAAAGGUUGGGAGUUGUUCGUUGAUCGUUGUCCGUUGCGUCAGCUGGAUUCCCCUAGUAGUGGCGAGCGAACGGGGACCAGCCGAAACUCCAGGCGUGAUUCACCGAACUGACCCCGACUUUACGUCGGGGCGCAGACGGCUGAUGAAGGUGUAGGCCGCUGCGCCUGGAGGGUAACAGGAUCGUGACGUCGGACGCCUACUCGUCCGGGUAGAGGAAACCGCAAGGACAUGUCUUCCCAAGCAGAAUCCGCUGGAAAGCGGAACCAGAGCGGGUGAUAGUCCCGUACGCGAAUGGGGACAUAACUCUACUGUCGCGAACCCUCAGUACCGCGGGUCUCGUGAAAGCCUGCGGGAAAGCGCCGCGACUAUGCGGCAAGGCUAAAUACUUCUUGUGAUCGAUAGUGAACCAGUACCGUGAGGGAAAGGUGAAAAGCAGCCCGGAAGGGCGAUGAAACAGUAUCUGAAACCGUUUGCUUACAAGGAGUCAGAGCCGUGCGCAGCACGGCGACUAUCAACUACCAACUAUCAACAAAACAACGGUCAAUAAUUCUGUUGCCCGUUGUGUGUUGUAAGUUGUGUGUUGGUUGUUGCCGCGCUGUGCGCGGUGAUGGCGUUCCUAUUGAAGAAUGAGCCAACGAGUUUGCCGUGCGUCGCUUAGGUUAAGUCCCUGAGGGGACGAAGCCGGAGCGAAAGCGAGUCUGAAUAGGGCGUAUGGACUUUAGAGGCGGAGUUGGAGCCGGCGCGCAAGCGUCAAACCUCCAACUUCUCACCUCUAAUUUCCAAAGGUGGCGCACGCAAGACCCGAAACCCGGUGACCUAGCCAUGACCAGGGUGAACUCCGCCGAAAGGCGGAGGGAGGCCCGAACCCGUAAGCCGUGCAACACUUUGGGAUGAGUCGUGGUUAGCGGAGAAAUUCCAAUCGAACUGGGUGAUAGCUGGUUCUCCCCGAAAUAGCUUGAGGGCUAGCGUCGGUUACACCUCGCGAGGGGUAGAGCACUGAAAGGAAAGCGGUGGAGCAAUCCUACGCGUUCCUACCAAACUCCGAAUACUCGCGGGGCAUCCCGGCAGUCAGAGCAUGGGGGCUAAGCUCCAUCGCUCAAAAGGGAAACAGCCCAGAUCGCAGUCUAAGGCCCCUAAAUCUUCCCGACCUAAAGUCGGGACUCCGACACCGCAAGGUCGUCGGAGCGGUUAAGUGUCAAAGGUUGUGGAGUAACUUAAACAACCAGGAGGUUGGCUUAGAAGCAGCCAUCCUUUAAAGAAAGCGUAACAGCUCACUGGUCAAGUCGCUCUGCGCCGAAAAUAUACCGGGGCUAAAACCGAGUGCCGAAGACGCGACUCCGACGUAAGUCGGAGGGUAGGGGAGCAUUCUGUCCGCGCUGAAGCCGCGCCGUAAGACGCGGUGGAGCGAACAGAAGGGAGAAUGUUGGCAUAAGUAGCAAAAAGACGGGUGAGAACCCCGUCCGCCGUAAACCCAAGGUUUCCUGGGCAACGCAAAUCGUCCCAGGGUUAGUCGGUCCUAAGGCGAGGCCAAGAGGCGUAGCCGAUGGAUGAGCAGGUUAAUAUUCCUGCACUACGGCCGUGUCAGGCGCGAGAGGACGCGUCGCAAUAUCUUCCGAGUUCGAAGGCUACACUUCCGGUGUCGCAAGCCGGCCGCGAGGCAAAUCCCGCGGCGCAAAGCAAGCGAUGCCGGCUAGUCUGCGAGUAAUCGCGGGCAAGGGAAGAAAAUGUGGCGCCUAGAAAAGUCUCGCGAUAACGGCAUGGCCGCACCCGUACCGGAAACCGACACAGGUGGGUGGGCAUAAGUGUGCCCAGGCGUACGAGAGAAACAUCGUUCAGGAACUCGGCAAUACAGCGGCCGUAACUUCGGGAUAAGGCCUACCCCGACGUAAAGUCGGGGUCGCAGCGAAAGACGCUUAGCGACUGUUUACCAAAAACACAGGUCCCUGCGAAGUCGAAAGACAAUGUAUAGGGGCUGAUGCCUGGCCAGUGUCAGAACGUUACGGGGAGAGGUCAUGGCCGACGCAAGUCGGCCGGCAGCCUUGAACCUAAGCGCUGAUGAACGCCGGCGAUAACUAUAAUCGUCCUAAGGUUCCCUGAAUCACUGGCAAGUGGUUCCGGGUAGGACUGGGACGAUUAUCGAAUGGUGAACAAGCAAGCUACCUUGCUCUGCAGCAAUGCAGAGAAAAAGUCCGUUAAUGGCUAAAUACCUACGUUUCCGAAGAACUAGGUAGGGAAGUCCGAUUUUUCGGACCCCGAGAGACCAUACGCCAUGCUCCCGACAUACCGUCGGGAUGAAGACAUGGUCCUUCGUUUAAGGAAUCGGAGAGCGAAAUUCCUUGUCGGGUGAGUUCCGACCUGCACGAAUGGCAUAACGACUGAGCGACUGUCUUAACGAUGUACUCGGCGAAAUUGCAAGAUGAGUGAAGAUGCUCAUUACCCGUGGUUAGACGAAAAGACCCCGUGAAGCUUUACUACAACUUGCUAUUGGCUGCAUGCUUCGCCUGUUCAGCGUAGGUGGGAGGUCCGACGAAAGUCGGACCAACAAUGAGACACCACCCUUGCGCUGCGUGCAGUCUCAUCUCCGGCCGUGAUCCGGCUGGGGAGACAGUAGCUGGUGGGUAGUUUGACUGGGGCGGUCGCCUCCUAAAAGGUAACGGAGGCGUUUACCAAGGUCGGCUUAGCUCCGAUGGAAACGGAGCUGGACGUGCAAGCGCACAAGCCGGCUUUACUGCGAGACCUACAAGUCGAGCAGUUGCGAAAGCAGAAGCUAGUGAUCCGACCGUUCGAAGUAGGACGGCGGAAGCUCAUCGGAUAAAAGCUACUCCGGGGAUAACCCCAAAAGGGUUGUUGUCCCGAUCCGACGGUAACGUCGGAUCAUGAAAACGGCUAAUAACGGUGGAGUCCCGCCAGGCGGGAUAAUACCGUGGGAAGUUCUUCGUCUCAUCAUCAUAAUUAUGAUUGAACGCGAACGAAAUAUCGUGAUUGGUUGCGUACUUGGCGACGGUUUUCUCCAAUCGACCGGAAGACAUAACGCGCGGCUGCGGCUCGAGCAUUCCAUCAAACAGAAGGAAUAUCUCGAGUGGAAGUGGCGCGAACUGGCGCGCUAUAUGCAAGAUCGCCCCAAGCGCCUGGUUCGUUGGAAUCCGGUUUGGAAAAAACGUUACGAGUAUCUGCGAUGCCAAUCGCACAGUUCGCCGCAAUUCGGCAAGCUUCGGGAAUUAUUCUAUCGCGAUCAGACGCGGCAGGUUCCCGAUGAGAUAGCCAAGUUGCUGCGCUCGCCGCUCUCGUUGGCGGUUUGGUUUAUGGAUGACGGAUAUUACUAUACGCGAGAUCGCGUAGCGUAUAUCUAUCUUCCUAAACUAUCCGCCGAUGACAUUCGGCGUUUGUGUCAAGCAUUAAAUGAUGAUUUUGAUCUUCAUCCGAAGGUCGAACGCAAGAAAACUGGGGCACUAAACCUCAAAUUUUCUGCGGCAGAAACGAAAAAAUUAAUUAAGAUAAUCGCCCCGCAUAUAAUCAAAAGUAUGCGGUACAAAAUCGGCGAAGAACCCCGUAUCGACUGAGUCCUAUGGACGAGGUGGCGCAGAGGAGGGAAUAUCCGCGCCACAAUAUGCCGUACUCCUUGUCUGGCGAGACAAGGAUGAAGAUAUAGUCAGUGCCCUUAGUAAUAAGGGAGUAAAACAUGAACAGGCUGAUCGGGUCCAAGAGUCCACAUCGACGACCCGGUUUGGCACCUCGAUGUCGGCCCGUCGCAUCCUGGGGCUGGAGAAAACAUACCUUCUCUCCUGCGAGGAAACUCGCGGGUAAUAAACAAGCUCAAACGGUAGAGACCACACCAUACGACCUUCCUGUUUCGGAGGUCCCAGGUCUGCUAUAGUGCAGAUGUAUGACGGUUAAUGCCGUAGGAAAGGAAUGCGUUGAAGUCGAUCGAGCAUAUCUUGCCGGUCUCAUUGACGGUGAUGGUGCCAUCAUGGCUAUCAUCGAACCGCACAGUGAGAAGAAAUUUCGUUUCCGUGUUCGGAUCGAAGUAAAAGUGACUCAAAAGCAUGAGGAAGACGUCUCGUUUUUGCCGAAACUUUUGGGUUGCGGAUUGAUUCGAACAAAUAGGACAACGUAUGAGUGGAUUACACGAGACCAGCAACAUGUCUUGCGUAUCCUCUCAAUGGUUCGUCCUUAUACGAGAAUGAAAAAUCGGCAGAUGGAAAUAGCAAUGAAGAUCAUCCGUACUCCGAUACGGACUCAGGGUGAUCUUUUGCGCGUUGCUCGAUUGGCAGAUGCAUUGGCGCGUUUCAACGUGCGAUCCAACAAUCGCCGUAGGAACUAUGCGACAAUGAUCGAAACGCAUUUCUCCUCUAACGACUGAUUGGUAAACGUUGGGUUUACCAUGAGAUAUGCCCCGCCAUGGCGGGGGUAUCAUACGGCUUGCACCUGUGUUGUGUCCGGUGACGGAUAUCAAUAUGGUGAUGGAAUAGUCUGAUACUCGCGGAAACGCGAGAUAACAAAAAUGAGGUCCCAAGGGUUUGGCUGUUCGCCAAUUAAAGCGGCACGCGAGCUGGGUUCAGAACGUCGUGAGACAGUGGAAACCGCGCUGUCUAAAAAUCUGGCUAUAUGCUGGAAAGUCUGUCUGAUCUCAUAAGGAGAUGAGGUCAAAGAAUCUCGCACUACCGAAACGGUAACAAUGUGUCGAGUGCAGACAAUCAGCAGGAAACUCCGCAUUGUGGAGGAUCCUCAGAGACUAUACGCCAGACUCACCAUACGGUGAGAAGAUAUAGUCCGAACUGCAUGGCGACAUGCAGAGUGCGGCAGAAAUGCCCGCACCGCUCCCCGAUAUGACGUUGGGGAGAAGUAACAACAUUGUCGGUCUCCUAUCUACCACGGGCGCAGAAACUUGCGGGGGCGCUCUCUCAGUACGAGAGGACCGGAGAGCACGAACCUCUUGUGUACCAGCUGUCCUGCCAAGGGCAUCGCUGGGUAGCGAAGUUCGGAACGGAUAAACGCUGAAAGCAUCUAAGCGUGAAGCCGUCCCCAAGAUUAGGUUUCAUUACGAGACCCCAGAGAGAUGAUCUGGUUGAUCGGCGGCAGGUGUAAGGCCCGCAAGGGUUUGAGCCGAGCCGUACGAAUCGGUCCAG